CGCGCCCGGCAGCCACCUCCCCGCGCCCGACCGCGACCUCCCCGCGCCCUGCCGCCCCUGGCCGCCUCCUCCUGCAGCCGGUGCUGCCCAGGGCCGGCCCCUCCCACGCUCGCCCUUCCCCCCCGCUUCCUCCAUCGGGGCUGGAUCGAGCCAGCGCGAGCCCGAUCCCGAUCUGGAUCGGGGUCUCCUGUAGCAAUUGACCAAAAAAAAAGAGCUCCUCAUGUCUUCUUCGGGCUAUGUCGCCGUUCCUCGGUGAUCUUCGAUGGCACCAACUAUGCCGAGUUUGCGGGGUUUAUGCGUAUCCACAUGCGCGGUCUCCUUCUGUGGGGUGUUCUCUCUGGCGAGGUCCCCUGUCCGCCUUGCCCUGUUGCUCCUGUGGCUCCUACCCCGCCAGCACCGCCGGUUCUUGCUGCUGAUGCUUCUCAGGCUGAUCGCGAUGCCGCCAAGGCUCUCGAUGAUACUGCAGUUGAUGCCUAUGAUCAGCAGAUGUCAGCCUAUUCGGAUGCCCUUUCUGCCUAUCGUGAUGAUCUGUCUGCUUACACUCAGUGGUGCAAUGAUGAUGCUUGUGCUGCUGCUGUUCUUACUGCGAGUGUCCUUCCUCAGUUCGCCUCGGAGUUCAUGGGACUUGGCACAGUUGCAGCGAUGUGGUCUUAUCUCUGUCAGCGCUAUCAGCCCUCUGGUGAUGCUCUCUACCUAUCUGUGGUGCGUCAGGAGCAUGCACUCCAGCAAGGUGAUUCCUCUGUUGAUGAGUUCUAUUCACAGUGCUCUGCCAUCUGGCGUCAGCUUGACUCUCUUCGGACCGUCGUUUGUGGAACUUGCCGUUGCUGUCAGACUACACGGUCCGAUUUGGAGUUUCAGCGGGUUCACGAGUUCUUAUCUCGUGUUCGCUCUGAGUUCGAGCCUCGCCGUGCUCACCUGCUCGCUCGUGGUCGUGUUCCUAUCUCGGAGGUACUUGCUGAGCUUCGUGCUGAAGAGACCCGCCUACGCUCUGCUGGGUUACUUGUGGUUCCAUCAGUGUUGGCCGCCCGAGCUCCUAUGCCACCUGCUCGCCUCACCGCUCCACCGCUCCUGCCUACUCCUUCAGGGGGGUGGGUCGUCCUUCUUAUGCUGAGAGGGGCCGGUUGCGCCGUGACACCUUCUGUGGCUACUGCUCUCGGCCAGGUCACCCAGAGUCUGAUUGCCGUGAGAAGAAGCGAGACCUGAGGCGCUCCUCUUCCAGUGGGACUCCUGGAUCCUCCUCGACCCCGUCACUCACUGACCAGGACAUUAUGAGGCUCAAGCGUCUCUUAGCUUCCUCAGGCUCUUUGUCGACCGGUUCCGCUGCUGCUGUGACUGCAGCCACUGCUCCACCACCGCAGGCAUCUACACAGUCAGCUCCUGCAAGAUUAGGAGAGACCCAUGUUCCACAUUUUAAAUGGAAGGUUCAUGACUUCUCAGCGCUACUUGAGACGAAAGCUACCACGGUGUUCUCUGCUGCUUUUGACUGCUCUGGGUACAAGUGCUAGCUACAACUUUGGUUUCAAGAAUACCUACUCGAAGCAAUAUUGCUUGAUUCCUCUUCAGGAGCUACUUACGUCAUCUGCUUUCCUAGUUGAUGAUAGCUGUGCUUUUGGUGUGGAGAUACUAAAAAUUGAUGUCUCUUCUCCUGAAAAGAAGGCUGUUGUGGUUCAUAAGAAGGCUACCACAGUUCAGAAUAUCUUUGUCCAGAAGAAGGGGUUCAUUAAAGGGACAUACACUUGGACCAUGGACAAUUUCCUUGAAUUGGACUUGAAGCACUUCGUCAGUUCUCCUACAUUUGAAGUUGGCGGACAUAAAUGGUACGUCGGCAUGUAUCCACGUGGUAACAAGUACAGCACUGAUUGCCUCAGCUUGUACUUAUACCUGGAUGCCUCGGAUGAGCUCCAUCUCGAGUCCAAGAAGGUGGUUCUAAUGACUCUCUCCAUCCUGGAUCAAAAGAAUGGGAAACACUUGACUGGAACUUCAGGUCUCUUGGUGUUUACGGGUACACACAGAUGGGGGUGGCCUGAUUUCCUUGGACUCGAGAAACUCAAGGACCCGUCGGGAGGCUAUGUUGUGGGAUCGAGCUGUGUUGUGAAGGCAGAUCUUACCAUCGUUGGUUCAUCCAAUGAUGGCUAGAUCUUUACCUCAUGGCCUGAAGAAGAGAUAAUGCGCCUUCAUCGUAGCAGUUAUAUACUAGCGAUGGUGUUGUGAACUUGUUUGAUGUUCUUAUGUUCACAAGGAGUCCAGUAAUGAUUUCUAGGUACAUUGUCUGUGAUAUUAUAUUAUUUGGAAGCACUUCAAUAGAUGAGUUCCGUUUGCA